rnacentral:rRNA from 1 species
AGAACGAACGCUGGCGGCGUGGAUAAGACAUGCAAGUCGAACGGAAUUGCUAGAUAGCAAUAUCAAACAAUUUAGUGGCGAACGGGUGCGUAACACGUGGAUUACAUUCCGGAAAGCGAGGAAUAGCCCAGGGAAACUUGGAUUAAUACCUCAUGUGGUCGUAAGACUAAAAGUGCAAGCUGCUUUCCGAUUGGUCCGCGGCCUAUCAGCUAGUUGGCGGGGUAAGAGCCCACCAAGGCAACGACGGGUAGCUGGUCUUAGAGGACGACCAGCCACACUGGAACUGAGACACGGUCCAGACACCUACGGGUGGCAGCAGUCGAGAAUCUUUCACAAU